UGAGUGACAGUCCUCGAGAUCUGCCUCAG
rnacentral:piRNA from 1 species